CAGUGAGAUGUGAAUUUUAGAUACACAACAAUUUUUAGUAUAAGUAAGUCCCAUGCAAGAUUUGGGACUUACUUAUACUAAAAAUGAGGUGUUGAUCGUCUAAAAGUCAAAUUUACCU
rnacentral:pre_miRNA from 14 species